AUUGAACGCUGGCGGCAUGCCUUACACAUGCAAGCCGAACGGCAGCACGGGAGCAAUCCUAGUGGCGAGUGGCGAACGGGUGAGCAAAGUAUCGGAACGUGCCCAGUCGUGGGGGAUAACGUAGCGAAAGUUACGCUAAUACCGCAUACGAUCUAUGGAUGAAAGCGGGGGAUCGCAAGAACUCGCGCGAUUGGAGCGGCCGAUAUCAGAUUAGGUAGUUGGUGAGGUAAAGGCUCACCAAGCCGACGAUCUGUAGCUGGUCUGAGAGGACGAUCAGCCACACUGGGACUGGAACACGGCCCAGACUCCUACGGGAGGCAGCAGUGGGGAAUCUUGGACAAUGGGGGAAACCCUGAUCCAGCAAUGCCGCGUGGAGGAAGAAGGCCUUUGGGUUGUAAACUCCUGUCGUAGGGGAGGAAGCUAUGUAUUAAAAUAUAAUAUAUAGUUGACUGUACCCUAAAAGGAAGCACCGGCUAACUACGUGCCAGCCGCCGCAGUAA
rnacentral:rRNA from 1 species